UCUAGCACCAGGCAAAGGCCGAGGGCCUGGGAGCGGAUAAAAGUUAGCGCGUCCAAUACAGUAUUCUCAGUCAGGGCCCCGAGGAAAGACUUCAGACAGGACCGUGGUUACGAAGACGAAGAAGGCAUGCCGAAGGGUCCCGAAGCAGGUAGACGAGGGUGGCUCCCGACUCUGGUUCCCUCGGGAGAGAAAAAAAAAAUCCCCCCUGCCUGUAUGGUUAGAAAUGGUGUUCCUAACUAGCUAGCAACACCGUUUUACCCACUUAAGUCUUACUCCGUAUCCCGACGUGUGUCCAGUUCUUUACAAAUAUGGGAUCUAGCUGGAAACAAAGGGACUUCCCAGGAGCCAUUUCCUGGGGGGAUAGUGGCUGCGGUGGUCACAUGUGGACCAGGGGCCAUCUGAACCCCAGGGAAAAGUCUGGAACACCAUGAUUUCAUCUUCUUGCUGGGAGGUGGUUAGAAUUUCACCGGAAAUUUUAGUGACGGGGUCUGCGUAGGGAGUUGAGAUGAUCUCAGGGAAACAGCUGUGAAAUACCUAUUUCAUUAAAUCUACUAACCAUGAUUAUGCUAAGAUGGGGGCAGAAAUAGCUCUGGAUAAACAUAUCUGUGACUAUGCUAGGAUCUCAUUUAGUUUGACCAGGGAACAGAAGUUUGAGAAGCCGAGGACAUGGUUACACUGGAAAUGUGGCUACUCUGACGCUUUGACUUUUUUUUUUAAUUUUUAAAAAAUGUUUAUUUUUGAGACACACACACACGCACACACACACACACACACAGAGCGUGAGCAGGGAAGGGGCAGAGAGAGAGGGAGACACAGAAUCCAAAGCUGCUCCGGGCUCCGAGCUGUCAGCACAGAGCCCCCACGCGGGGCUCGAACCCAUGAGCUAUGAGAUCAUGACCUGAGCCCAAGUCGGAAGCUUAACCUGAAGUCAGACGGUUAACCGACUGAGCCACCCAGAUGUCCCUGACGCUUUGACUUUCUAAAGUAUGGUAUUUUAAACCAUUCUUCAGGACACUGGGCAAUACCAACUUGAAGAGAGAGGCAAGGUGGGAAUUGAGGGAGUUUUCGGAAUGGUAAUGACCAAGUACUCACACAACUGCUCCUUAGUAACCCGUUGGUUUGGUAACUUCCCUCCUCUCCACAGACCCCUACAUUUGGGCUCACGCUCGAGCCUAAGCAGGCACUGAGAUGCAGCUCAUUCCUGGCUGUCCUCGAGAGAAACAUUCCUACUAACCACCCCCCCCCCCCCCCCGCCCCAGAUCAUGCUGCCCAUUCACCCCCACAGCUUCCCAUCCCUGGCAUAGUUCCUGCUAGCCCUGCUCACCGCUCCUUAUUUAAAAAAAAAAAAAAAAAAAAGCCUUUUUCUGUUCGAUUUUGAGAUGCCUGUGGAUCUUGCGGUCGGAGCAUUCUCUCUAUUGCAACAGUCUUUUAAAUAAAUUCUUUCUCUACCUACCCCUGGAUCUGUUUUAUUGACAGAUUUAAAGUGUCAUGAGGCAACUCAAGAUUGGACAUCACUUACAGAACCCUGUCGUACCUGCCCAGGUAUCUAACGGCACCUUGCAAUUGCUUCGAACUCGGCUCCUGUUCGUGAGUUCGGGAAUCCUUUGGUAAAUUCAGUUCUCACACCAGUGCCCUGGGCAUCAUGUCUAUUACAGCACAGUAAGGAGUUACUUUGAUUCUUUGGGCAUAGGAAUCUUUCUUUGGCAUUUUGAGUGGGCAGUCGUUCCCUGGCUCUUGAGAAGGAAACUUCCCUAUUCUUCUGUAUGAUGACUCCUUUGUUUUUCCUUGGGAAUUGGAGGAGGGAAUUUCUUUGGCCCUUCCGACAGGGACGAUACAGGGGAGUAAUCAAGCAGGACUCUUUCCUGGCUUCUUUAAGGGCUUAUCUCUGGUCUAAUGAACUAAUAUCGUGGGUAACUCUCACUCUACUUUCCCUGCUGGACUAUAUGUUCCAUCAUUAUGGCAUUAAUUCAGGUCAAUACGUUCAAAAGUAGCAAGAUUUUACUACAGAGAAUUUAGAAUUUCGGUGGCCUCUUUGGGAAACAUGGGAUCUCCCCAUGCUGGCUCAUCAAUUACCUAUCCCUUCCUAUCACCCACCCCCCCAUCCUCCUUCCUCCUUUUCAUGACCUUCAAACUUCCCUUCAUCUCCCUGAAUCCUUCGAUCCGUCUCUCCCCCUUUAACACUCCUACCUCCUCUAUCCCUCUAUCCACUUCUGCCAAACUUUUUCCAUCCCACUUGGGCCCUUCAACAUCUUAUAGUCACUUAAACUCUAGGCCCCCCUCUCCCUGUUGGAAGUUAUUGAGCGGCUUCGGGACCCCGAGAGCAAACACCUAAUGCUGAAAAAGCUACUUAGAAACAGGCUGAGUGCUUUUUCAACUCAGAUGAGCUCUAGACACCCAGACAGACGGUCACCUGAUAUCUCCUCAGUCCCUUGCCCUAGAUUUAAUCCACAGCCUCCAAAGAAAAUUAAGGGUCUCCUCCACUAAUAUUGUUGGGGGCGCUUCAGCUCUCAUAAUGAGCAGAUGUCCUCCAUUGCUCCAUCCACCAGAAAUGUAGUCCUGAUUUUUAUAAAAACGUAAAGGUGUCCAAGGGCAAGAGCCAACUGUUUGUAACCAAUGAGUUAAAAAUUAGAAAUUAAAGCCAUUAGUCCAGCCAUUAGUUCUCUGUGUCUGGCUGUCUAUGUAUUUAUGUAUGUUCUUUUCCUAUCCCUAGAUAGUAUUAACAUAUUAGAUUAUAAAAUGCCUUAAAGAACUCUAUUUUAAUUGGCUUAGAGGUAAAUAAGCAUUUCUAUAAAUUAAAUAUGUCUAAAAUUCUCAAAAGUUAACGGAAUUUAACAUCUAGGAUUUUCAAAAAGAGUCUUAUAGAAACUAACCCAAAUAUUUUUUACAGUUUUUAUUUACAUUCCAGGUAGUUGGGGCGCCUGGGUGGCUCAGUCAGUUAAGGGUCCAACUUCAGCUCAGGUCAUGAUCUGGUGGUCCUGAGUUGGAGCUCCAGGUCGGGCUCUGUGCUGACAGCAGGGGGCCUACUUGGAAUUUUCUCUCUCCCUCUCUCUCUCUCUCUCUCUCUCUCAAAAAUAAAUAAACAUUAAAAAAAGAAAAUAAAUUCCAGUUAGUUAACAUACAGUGUCAUAUUAUAGUUUCAGGGGUACAAUGUAGUGAUUCAGCACUUCCGUACAAAACCCAGUGCUAACCCAAAUAUUUUUAAAAUUCAAGUCAACACAAGUUCAGUAAAUCUUGGCAAACAAGACUAAUUUAGUAUUAUUGGUUUAAUAAAAUUAGCUCUUUUAUCUUCUGAGUUAUCAAGUUUAGAUAAAAUAUAACCAGACUUUUUUAUUCUAUUUGGAAUAUUCUUCCUAAAACUUACACGGGUUUACUGAUUGAAUAGACUAACGCUACAUCUAUUAAACAUUUAAGAUUGUUAAAAAUGUAAAUUUGUGUUGAACCAAAUUAAAUCAUUAUCCUGACAAACUUUAUUUUGCCACGAAUUAUGUUUUAUAAUAUGUCAGCUUGAAAACGGUUUUCAGAAUCUUCUGGUAAAUUCAAACCUUAGACUUAUGCUAAAUUAAUUAAUGAAUGUUUAUUAAAUAACUAGAUCAUUUUUACAUAAGAUAAAUAUUGAAACGUUAAUUAGUAAGCAUACUUUUAAGGCUAUAUAUGUUUGGCUCUAUUAAUAUUCAUUUUUGCCUCAAUGAAAAGUUAUACCACAAGAGAUAAUUAUAGCUAUAAAAAUUGUGAGACCUAUAUUCAUAAGGUCUGGUGAUCUGCUACAAAAUACUGGUGUGUGACAGACAGUUCACAAUUUUCCACCUCCUGGCUUCUCUAAAAUAAAAGUUACUGUGGAUGAAUGUUGUAACCAGUAUCUGUGAGUAAAACUCUAUCAGUGGCAAUAGUAGCAUAUAGGAACAACUUUGUAGGCAAAGCAUAGAAGAUGUGUUCUUAUUAAGGGAAAAAAUAGUUUUGUCCUAAGGUAAAAUGACUGGUUGCUCCAGAAUAAAAAAGAAGAAAAUGUAGGAUAAAAUUUAAACGGAUGUAAAUAGUGAUAAAGGGGGGAUUCUAUGUGUUGCGGUCAAAGAUGGCAAAGGAUUAACAGGCUUAUUUUUCAUUUUUUAAAAAGGAAAUUUAAUAUCAAAUAUACUCAUACAAAACUGGAAUUGGGGUUUUCUCUCUGUUAAAUAACAAAAUGUGUUUGGAUUGUAGAUCUGCUCUUAAUAGGAAAUUAUAAGAGUUUUUCUUUGACUUCUAAGUAAUCUGUCAAGAAAGGCAAGAAUACUGUGCCUCAUCAGAGUAAUUCCCUAUGCUUUUGUGUUGGUUUUAUUAUGUCCUUGAUUGUUUAAGAAACCAAAGUCUUCUCACUUUUCAAAGUUUGAACUUCUUUACAAACUGCCAUAAUUUCCAUGCUUUGCUCUGGGAAACCUUACCGCAACCACAAAUAUGAUCGCCACAGAGCUACCUAAGUUUCAACAAGUGGUCCUUUAUUUUUUUUUUUUUAAUUUUUUUUUUCAACGUUUAUUUAUUUUUGGGACAGAGAGAGACAGAGCAUGAACGGGGGAGGGGCAGAGAGAGAGGGAGACACAGAAUCGGAAACAGGCUCCAGGCUCUGAGCCAUCAGCCCAGAGCCUGACGCGGGGCUCGAACUCACGCACCGCGAGAUCGUGACCUGGCUGAAGUCGGAUGCUUAACCGACUGUGCCACCCAGGCACCCCUAACAAGCGGUCCUUUAAAAUCUUAUGGCAUUGGACAUGAUUCUGGCUUCCCAAAGGGGCACUUAUACAGUGAGCGGUGGUGAGAAGGACUGCCAUGCAUAUGUUCUCCAAAACAUCUCGGAUUGUCUAUGCUAUCACCAAAACUAUUCAAAACACAAACCAUCAGAUCACCACUGCUAUUCUCACUCUACCAUCUAAGGACACUUUGGGUCCAAUGUCCCGGACUCCUCUUGGUAGACUCCCUUCUGGUAUCAGAUCUGGGGUUUACUCCCACAUUCAGCCUUUAGUAAUCAUUCUUUUUGUUAUAUUCCUAGGCAUACCUCUCACCAGUGCCUUGUCUCUAAGACCUUCCAACAGCUGUUGGUUGAUAAAAUGCUCAACAUAUAAUAUAGGUAAUACUUCAAAGCCAACAAGAAUGUGUGUCCAGCCCACCCGUGAAAACUGUGAGCAACUUUGACCUCAUGGCAACUCUAACUCUAUCCAUGGUAGUGUUUAGGACAGUCUUUGCCUAUUUUAUUUUAUUUUAUUUUAUUUUAUUUUAUUUUAUUUUAUUUUAUUUUUAAUUUAUUUUCUUAAGUUUUAUUUAUUUGAGAGAGAAAGAGAGAGAGAGAGAGAGAGAGAGCGAGCACAGGGGAGGAGCAGGGAGAGAGAGAAUCCCAAACAUGCUCUGCACUGUCAGUUGCGGGGCUUGAGCUCACGAACCAAACUGUGAGAUCGUGACCUGAGCCAAAACCAAGAGUUGAUCACUUACCUGACCGAGCCACCCAGGCGCCCCCUGUCUUGGCCUAUUUUAAGCAACACCAGGGACUGACCAAGUGCUCCCAAUUAUCCAUAACAUACCCUCUGACCUGGCUUAACCAAACUUCAGUCACGCUUUUCUCCUCACAGGCUCCUGAACUUUGGCUCACCCCCAAGCUUAAGCAAGAACCAAGAUGCAGAAAUUCCCCAUUCAAUAGCUCAUUCUAAGAAUGGGCUAAAGACAGAGAAACGUUUCCCGUUUCCAUGAUGCCGUCUGCUCGCUCCCACCACCGGCCCCAGCACACGCACACCAACUUCCUGCUGCCCCUGCUUCCCCUUUCCUAUAAGAGAAACACCUUCUUCUGUUCAGUUCUGAGACACUUGCGGGACCUGUGGUCAGAGCAUUCUCUCUGUUGCGGCGGUCUUUUCGAAUAAAG
rnacentral:lncRNA from 1 species